CCCCGUUUCCUGGGUCUCAGAUGGAAAGGGGGAUCAGUGCUAUAGGCACUAGACCUAGAAAGCCCAGAACUCCACGGGGGAGAUCUCAAAGACCUGAAAGGGACCUGGACUCUGAAAGCCAGAAAAGGCUGGAAGAGCUCCAGAAGCGGCCCACAGCAGAGACAAAGGAAACACUUUACUCCCUGGAGCCUGGCCAGAAGCACCAGUAAUUGGAGAAAAUCCUGAACAGGUCCCCAGGGAUGAUGUUCGACGUGCUGUCCUUGCUGGCGGAACCCCUGCACCCUGAACCAGAUGGAGCUCUCCCUCACUGGUGCAUUUGCCGGAAUUGCAGGGAGAUGGAUUCUGAUAUAGAGAGUAUGCUGUCGCCAGUCCCCGCAGCACUGCAUAAGUACCAUGGCGUACAAGCAGUAUUACCUCUUGGACGAUGGGGUGUUGCGGUUGGACCGGGCUGCAUGGAACGAUAGCUUUGCUCUUGAUGAGAGCCCAGAACCGAGCAGAGACAUUUCAGGCACUCAGCCUGUAGACAAUUUGUG
ensembl:lncRNA